rnacentral:rRNA from 1 species
CGCGAAGAACCUUACCAAAUCUUGACAUCCUUUGACCGCUCUAGAGAUAGAGUUUUCCCCUUCGGGGGACAAAGUGACAGGUGGUGCAUGGUUGUCGUCAGCUCGUGUCGUGAGAUGUUGGGUUAAGUCCCGCAACGAGCGCAACCCUUAAGCUUAGUUGCCAUCAUUAAGUUGGGCACUCUAAGUUGACUGCCGGUGACAAACCGGAGGAAGGUGGGGAUGACGUCAAAUCAUCAUGCCCCUUAUGAUUUGGGCUACACACGUGCUACAAUGGACAAUACAAAGGGCAGCUAAACCGCGAGGUCAAGCAAAUCCCAUAAAGUUGUUCUCAGUUCGGAUUGUAGUCUGCAACUCGACUACAUGAAGCUGGAAUCGCUAGUAAUCGUAGAUCAGCAUGCUACGGUGAAUACGUUCCCGGGUCUUGUACACACC